AUACGAAGGGUGCAAGCGUUGUUCGGAUUCACUGGGCGUAAAGCGCGCGUAGGCGGUCAUGCAAGUCAGAGGUGAAAUGCCGGGGCUUAACCCCGGAACUGCCUUUGAAACUGUAUGACUGGAGUCUUGGAGGGGGUAGUGGAAUUCCUAGUGUAGAGGUGAAAUUCGUAGAUACUAGGAGGAACACCGGUGGCGAAGGCGGCUACCUGGACAAGUACUGACGCUGAGGCACGAAAGCGUGGGGAGC
rnacentral:rRNA from 1 species